UCUUGAUGCCCUGCUAACCCACCCCUGAGGCUGGAGGGGUUGGGGAGUGCUUCUGAGGUUGGGGUGAGGGGAGGAGGGGCUGUCUGGACAGAGAGGGUGGAUGAAUCAUGAUCUGGCCUGUACUGGUUAUUGGCUAAAAUGAGGACUUUUCCAAGUCUGUGGAGUCUUUUUGUUUGAGCUGGAAAGAAAUAUGGUUCAUGGGAUCCAGUUACCUCAUCCACUGCAAGCAAGCAGAGAAAGUUGCCUGGGAGGAUGGGACAAUCUCUGCCUCCUGGCUUUCCAGGGCCCUUGCUGGAGGAAGGUAUGGGCAGAGCCCGGGAAUACUCUCAAGUGAACACCCUGCUCAUGGCAUCCAUUGGAAAAUCAGCUCUCUGUAAUAAUGGUGGCAUUGAUCAUAGUGGGGUAAUGGUGAUGAUUAAGUUCCUGUCUCCAGGUUCCUGCCUCCAGGUUCCUGCCUCGAGUUCCUGCCCUGACUCCCCUCAGUGACAGAUGUGACUUGGAAGUGCAAGCUGAAAUAAACUUUUUCCUUCUCAAGUUGCUUUUGGUCGCGGUGUUUAUCACAGCAAUAGAAACCCCAACUAAGACAGUUGAUGAUGUGGGUGGUGAUGAUGAUGAUGGUAGUGGUAGUAUUUGGUUUGCCAUAAUGAAGUAACACAAACGAUGUGGCUUUCACAACUGAACCUUAUUUUCUCAUAGCCCUGGA